UCUGAAUGUCCCAUCUGCAAGAUGGCAGAAAAUACUAAUGGAUUUUCUUGAAGGAGAAACAGGAAAGAAGAAAAGGAUUGAGAAAAGGAACCAGGACAAUCGUCAAUCAUUAACCUAACAGAGA
rnacentral:lncRNA from 12 species